rnacentral:rRNA from 1 species
CCUGGCUCAGGAUGAACGCUAGCUACAGGCUUAACACAUGCAAGUCGAGGGGCAGCAUUUUUCUAGCAAUAGAAGAGAUGGCGACCGGCGCACGGGUGAGUAACACGUAUCCAACCUGCCGAUAACUCCGGGAUAGCCUUUCGAAAGAAAGAUUAAUACCGGAUAGUAUACGAAUAUCGCAUGAUAUUUUUAUUAAAGAAUUUCGGUUAUCGAUGGGGAUGCGUUCCAUUAGUUUGUUGGCGGGGUAACGG